rnacentral:rRNA from 1 species
CGAGCGAGCUUGCCUAGAUGAUUUUAGUGCUUGCACUAAAUGAAACUAGAUACAAGCGAGCGGCGGACGGGUGAGUAACACGUGGGUAACCUGCCCAAGAGACUGGGAUAACACCUGGAAACAGAUGCUAAUACCGGAUAACAACACUAGACGCAUGUCUAGAGUUUGAAAGAUGGUUCUGCUAUCACUCUUGGAUGGACCUGCGGUGCAUUAGCUAGUUGGUAAGGUAACGGCUUACCAAGGCAAUGAUGCAUAGCCGAGUUGAGAGACUGAUCGGCCACAUUGGGACUGAGACACGGCCCAAACUCCUACGGGAGGCAGCAGUAGGGAAUCUUCCACAAUGGACGAAAGUCUGAUGGAGCAACGCCGCGUGAGUGAAGAAGGGUUUCGGCUCGUAAAGCUCUGUUGGUAGUGAAGAAAGAUAGAGGUAGUAACUGGCCUUUAUUUGACGGUAAUUACUUAGAAAGUCACGGCUAACUACGUGCCAGCAGCCGCGGUAAUACGUAGGUGGCAAGCGUUGUCCGGAUUUAUUGGGCGUAAAGCGAGUGCAGGCGGUUCAAUAAGUCUGAUGUGAAAGCCUUCGGCUCAACCGGAGAAUUGCAUCAGAAACUGUUGAACUUGAGUGCAGAAGAGGAGAGUGGAACUCCAUGUGUAGCGGUGGAAUGCGUAGAUAUAUGGAAGAACACCAGUGGCGAAGGCGGCUCUCUGGUCUGCAACUGACGCUGAGGCUCGAAAGCA